rnacentral:rRNA from 1 species
UGGGGAAUAUUGCGCAAUGGGGGAAACCCUGACGCAGCGACGCCGCGUGGAGGAAGAAGGCCUUUGGGUUGUAAACUCCUUUGAUCGGGGACGAAGAUGACGGUACCCGAAGAACAAGCCACGGCUAACUACGUGCCAGCAGCCGCGGUAAUACGUAGGUGGCGAGCGUUGUCCGGAAUUACUGGGUGUAAAGGGCGUGUAGGCGGGGUGCCAAGUCAGGUGUGAAAUACCGGGGCUUAACCUCGGGGGUGCAUCUGAAACUGGUGCUCUUGAGUGCCGGAGAGGAAAGCGGAAUUCCCAGUGUAGCGGUGAAAUGCGUAGAUAUUGGGAGGAACACCAGUGGCGAAGGCGGCUUUCUGGACGGUAACUGACGCUGAGGCGCGAAAGCGUGGGGAGCAAACAGG